rnacentral:misc_RNA from 1 species
GCAAACUUGGUCAUUUAGAGGAAGUAAAAGUCGUAACAAGGUUUCCGUAGGUGAACCUGCGGAAGGAUCAUUACUGGAUCUCUUCGGAGUCUCCGCCCUGUGUUAUUUGAGUCCCCAAACUUCGGCCGCGUCGGGCCCAGAUCUAGAUCUGGCCCGCCGGCCGGCAGCAUCCUCUCAAGAAUUGAUGUCCAAGACAAAUCAAACCAGACAAAACUUUUGACAACGGAUCUCUUGGUUCUGGCAUCGAUGAAGAACGCAGC